UAGUCCACGCUGUAAACGAUGAGUGUUAGGUGUCUGGGAGAACCUGGGUGCCACAGCAAACGCAAUAAACACUCCGCCUGGGGAGUACGCACGCAAGUGUGAAACUCAAAGGAAUUGACGGGGACCCGCACAAGUAGCGGAGCAUGUGGUUUAAUUCGAUGCAACGCGAAGAACCUUACCAGGGCUUGACAUAAAAGUGACGAGGGAUAGAGACAUGCCUUUUCUCUUCGGAGACAGUUUUAC
rnacentral:rRNA from 1 species